rnacentral:rRNA from 1 species
UGCGUAGGUGGCAAGGUAAGUUCGGUGUGAAAUCCCCGGGCUUAACCCGGAAAUGGCAUUGAAUACUAUCUUGCUCGAGGGUUGGAGGGGGGACUGGAAUUCUCGGUGUAGCAGUGAAAUGCGUAGAUAUCGAGAGGAACACCAGUGGCGAAGGCGAGUCCCUGGACAACUCCUGACACUGAGGCACGAAAGCUAGGGGAGCAAACA